rnacentral:tRNA from 1 species
GGGCGACUAGCUCAGUGGUAGAGCGUUCCGUUCACAUCGGAAAGAUCACAGGUUCGAUCCCUGUGUCGCCCA